ACAAAUUGCAGGUUUAUUGUAUAAAAUUUCUAGGAGCUAAAAGUUUAAACCCCCAGAUUCCUCAUCCAUACAUGUUGUUGCUAUAAGAAAUUACAGAAUUGAAAUUUAAUGCACCUCAAUUAUUUGCAAAUGCCUCAAUUAUUCCUCUUUUGGAAAUAAAAGAAUCUUAGACAAUGUUGUUAUUAUCACAAACCUAGAGAUCAAUCAUAUAUUUGAAAAGAAAUACCUCUUAAAAUAUUCUACCUCCUGUCAUUGAGAACUGUUCAUUGAACAUCCUGAAUUAUUCUAAGCCUCUAUGGAGAUUGUAAAGAUCCUUUCAAGUGCUAGUAUGAAAUCAGUGGGAAACGAAACAAAAGCAACUUUAAAGCAACAAGAAAUUAUGUAUCAUAUAUACAUCGUAGCAAAUACUUUAUAUUUGUGAAUCUUUACAGCUUACAUUUCCAUUCCAUUAUUACAGGUGAUGAAAAACAAAAAAUUGCAAGUAGCAUUCAAAUUAUAAAUACACAGUCUUCCCAUUUCACUAACCAAAUUCUUACUUUUCAGUGUUACUUCCCAAUUUAUGCAGGAAACUGCCUACAAAGCUGAAACUGAUUAGAAAAUUUUUAAGGUUUAAAUCUCUUUCUCAUUUUAGGAGAAACCAAAUACCCAACCAUCGAAAUUAAAAAUAAAUUGAAUUGGCACAGUCAUUACAGUUAUUGUUACUA
rnacentral:lncRNA from 1 species